rnacentral:rRNA from 1 species
UUACCGCGGCUGCUGGCACGGAGUUAGCCGAUCCUUAUUCCUAUGGUACCGUCAAGUUCCGACACGUCGGAGUGUUUCUUCCCAUAGAAAAGCAGUUUACAACCCAUAGGGCCGUCUUCCUGCACGCGGCAUGGCUGGGUCAGACUUUCGUCCAUUGCCCAAUAUUCCUCACUGCUGCCUCCCGUAGGAGUCUGGUCCGUGUCUCAGUACCAGUGUGGGGGAUAAUCCUCUCAGACCCCCUACCUAUCGUUGCCUUGGUGAGCCGUUACCUCACCAACUAGCUAAUAGGACGCAUGCCCAUCUCUAACCACCGGAGUUUUAAUUUCAGAAUCAUGCGAUUCCAAAAUGUUAUGGGGUAUUAAUCCGAGUUUCCCCGGGCUAUUCCCCAGUUAGAGGUAGGUUGCAUACGCGUUACGCACCCGUGCGCCACUCGUCAGCAUCCGAAGAUCUGUUACCGUUCGACUUGCAUGUGUUAAGCCUGCCGCUAGCGUUCAUCCUGAGCCAUGAUCAAACUC